rnacentral:misc_RNA from 1 species
GUCCACCGAACGGUCGGCAGGCGAUCCGCCUCGGUCUCGCGAGGUGGUAUGGUUCCCCAGAGGCCGGUUCUUGUGCUGCCUACCCGUUCGAGGGAAGCUGGCCACUUGAUGUAAGCCUCCAUCCGGCGCCCUCCAACGGGCGCAGGAGGACAACGGAGCACCCCCCGCGUUCCACCGAUCCAUCUCGGUCGCGUGGCCCGUGGGGACGUGCGAUGCUCUCGGACCCAGCGAACGCCGUGGGCGAGGACUCACGUCCCAGUCCCGAAAUGAAGCUUCGGUAUAGUGCAUGACGGCCGCUCCCGCCCCCCGACCGCCCCGGCGGCGCGGGGGCGAGGCGCGGCGUCGCGGAGGAAUGC